GAUGAAGAACGUAGCGAAAUGCGAUAAGUAAUGUGAAUUGCAGAAUUCAGUGAAUCAUCGAAUCUUUGAACGCACAUUGCGCCCGCCAGCAUUCUGGCGGGCAUGCCUGUUCGAGCGUCAUUUCAACCCUCGAGCCCCCCCGGGGGCCUCGGUGUUGGGGGACGGCACACCAGCCGCCCCCGAAAUGCAGUGGCGCCCCCGCCGCAGCCUCCCCUGCGUAGUAGCACACACCUCGCACCGGAGCGCGGAGGCGGUCACGCCGUAAAACGCCCAACUUUCUUAGAGUUGACCUCGGAUCAGGUAGGAAUACCCGCUGAACUUAAGCAUAUCAAUAAGCGGAGGA
rnacentral:misc_RNA from 1 species